UCCGCCCGCCUGCCUGGUCUUCUGGAGCUGAGGACUCAGGAAACCAUGCAACUAGGGCAAGACUUGGGCUGCUUUAGAGGCGCUGACAUCCGAGGAGCCUUCCCCUGGGAUUAAAGGAGCAAUGUUUGGAAGGAAGUGAAAGAAGGGAGAGAACACACAGCAGCCAGAGAGGGCCAGGAGCUGAGAGGGGACUCAGACCUGCGGCCUCCCCACAACUGUCUUCUUGGAAGGAGCUGGGAUGUUGCUGAAGGAAAGUUGAAAAAUGAAAAAAGAUAACCUUUUCCCUUUCCCCAUCCAGGGAACAGCUGAAGGUCAAAUCGAGAGGGUGCCGGCAGGUCUGGAUCCCUUGGGUGUCUGUGGGAGACAAAGGCGAAUUCCCGAGGAAAGGAGGGAGCGGAGAAAGGCGCUCCGGGAACGGCUGGCAGGGCGACUCCGCAGGCUGCAGGGAAGCGGGGUGCCUGGAAGGACUUGCAGCCUGGAAAGGGGCGUGUGGGGGCGCUGACGUGAAGAUGGAUGAGGAAAAAGCCUUUUGAUAUCAGUAGAAGGGGAAAAGCGUGGAGCGGCUGAAAGCUUUUAGUUCCCCAGCAGGAACAGCCGGGGGUGCUCAGAUGCCCAAGGCUGCGCAAUGUUCCCAGCUUUGCCCGCUCCUGCCUCUCUUGUGCGGAAUAUACUGGCGGUGUAAAUAUUUCUCCAGGCAGGCGGCCGGGGUAAGGGAUGGGCUCAGCUCUGAGGAUCAGACCAAACCUUGGGGAAGAAGGUGAGGCAGAGCUUCGGGUCCUUGGUUUGACUUUGCUCUGAGCCUAUAAUCGACUGUUCCGCUUUGCAGGAGGUCCAACAGCCACGCUGAGCCCACCGUGCUCUGGGAAAGACGCGGCCGGGGUUAAGGCCGCCCCGGAAGGCCAAGUCCGAGUUCCAUUUCUUGAAGAGGCCGCAGCAGGCAAGGCUGUGACAUUGGCCCUGGCCACUGGUUUCCCAUGAGCUGUUCUUUCUCAGGAGCUCCACAGAGCGGGGGCCAUCUCCAGAAAACUGUCUUCAGCGUGUAUUUCCUUUUAUCGUCAACCCGGAGCCCCACGGCGGCUAAUACAAGAGGCCAAAAAUGUUUGGAGGAAGAAAAACAAAGGCAGGAAGUGGCGGCGGCCUGACGGUGCGUGUGUGUCUGUGGAGAAGGGAGAGAAGGGAGGGAGCCGGUUCAAUCUCUUCUUGUUUUUCCUAACUUCAAGGUCCAGGCAGCCCUCCGCAGGGCCGGCCCCGUCGCUCCCCGCGCAGCGUUUGGAGGUGGCCACCCGGAGAGGAGAGGGCCGGCGCCCGCGCCAGCCUUGUCAGGCGGAAACGGCUAACAAGGAGAUUUGGUUAGCAAAACAGACCAAGCCUUUCCGAGGCUUCGUCUGACUUGGCCCUAAAGGUUGGGGGGAGGGUUGUGCAGCACCUCCUGGACCCCCCUCGGCCGGUUGAGUACGCCCAGGCGGGGACGAUGAUCCGUGAGUCUUGCGCUCCAUCCGCUUUACUAGGCGGAAUAUUGGAAUAAAGUGUGUCCAGGCGCC